AGAAAAUGAAUACAGAGCUCAUGCUUUGGAUUACCAGGCCUUGCUGUCUUGGAUGCCUACAAAAUGAGAGCUUAUGGAAUUACUGAGCCAUCGUAAGGAAAAACAGAGAAACAUGGCUGUUUGCGGAACAGAGACUAUUAACCGGAUGCAAAUGGAGACUAUCACAUUUCAGAAUCUGAAAACUUCCCAGCUGCCACUGAUUCACAUGUAAGUCCUAAAUAAUUCCAUAUAUUGCUUGGAAAUUUAGAAGGUUUGGGGAUGGCGGUUGUUUCCCCUGGGGAGAUGCUCAGCUUGUGUAAUAAUGAUGUUGGCUUUCAGAGUUGUUAGGGGGUUGGUAAGUGUUUCGACUUUCUCCGUGGUCAGGUUUUGGACAUUAGCUGCUUGAAGUGAUAAUCUCCUUGGCCUCCUUUUACAUCACAGAAAGAGAAUCAUUAUUUUUUGUUAUUUGAAUAUAGACAAAGAAAGGAUGUUAAGUCAUUUGAGGAGAUGCUUAGGGUAAGAACAUGUAAGCCCUCUUUAGGAAAAGAAGUUAAUUUCAGGUUCUAGCUUGCAUAAGAUGGAAUAUAAAUGUUAUAGUUGUCCAUGUGGGUAACUCUUAAAUUUAUAAAAGGGGUCUACUCUCACAUUUUCUAAGUUGAGUGUUUGGAAUUUGGCAUUUAGUUUCCCAAAGAAACAG
rnacentral:lncRNA from 1 species